UACAGAGGUCUCAAGCGUUGUUCGGAUUCAUUGGGCGUAAAGGGUGCGUAGGCGGCGCGGUAAGUCGGGUGUGAAAUCUCGGAGCUUAACUCCGAAACUGCAUUCGAUACUGCCGUGCUUGAGGACUGGAGAGGAGACUGGAAUUUACGGUGUAGCGGUGAAAUGCGUAGAUAUCGUAAGGAAGACCAGUGGCGAAGGCGGGUCUCUGGACAGUUCCUGACGCUGAGGCAACGGAAGGUCAGGGGAGCAAAACGGG
rnacentral:rRNA from 1 species